UACGGAGGGGGCUAGCGUUGUUCGGAAUUACUGGGCGUAAAGCGCACGUAGGCGGCUUUGUAAGUCAGAGGUGAAAUCCCGGGGCUCAACCCCGGAACUGCCUUUGAGACUGCAUCGCUUGAAUCCAGGAGAGGUGAGUGGAAGUUCCGAGUGUAGAGGUGAAAUGCGGACAGACUAGUCAGGAGGAACACCAAUUGCGAAGGCAGCUCGCUGGGACGUU
rnacentral:rRNA from 1 species